UACGUAGGGUGCGAGCGUUAAUCGGAAUUCCUGGGCGUAAAGCGUGCGCAGGCGGUUUUGUAAGCCAGAUGUGAAAUCCCCGGGCUUAACCUGGGAAUGGCAUUUGGGACUGCAAGGCUGGAGUUUGGCAGAGGAGACUGGAAUUCCCGGUGUAGCAGUGAAAUGCGUAGAUAUCAAGUGGAACACCAGUGGCGAAGGCGAGUCCCUGGACGACUCCUGACACUGAGGCACGAAAGCUAGGGGAGCAAACAGG
rnacentral:rRNA from 1 species